CUCAGUGGUCAGGAUGAUUAUUGGGCCUAAAGCAUCCGUAGCCGGCUUUGUAAGUUUUCGGUUAAAUCCGUGUGCUCAACGCAUGGGCUGCCGAAAAUACUGCAUGGCUAGGGAGUGGGAGAGGUAGACGGUACUCGGUAGGAAGGGGUAAAAUCCUUUGAUCUAUUGAUGACCACCUGUGGCGAAGGCGGUCUACCAGAACACGUUCGACGGUGAGGGAGAAAGCA
rnacentral:rRNA from 1 species